rnacentral:rRNA from 1 species
UUUUGAACUGCAUGGUUCGAAAUUGAAAGGCGGCUUCGGCUGUCACUUAUGGAUGGACCCGCGUCGCAUUAGCUAGUUGGUGAGGUAACGGCUCACCAAGGCAACGAUGCGUAGCCGACCUGAGAGGGUGAUCGGCCACACUGGGACUGAGACACGGCCCAGACUCCUACGGGAGGCAGCAGUAGGGAAUCUUCCGCAAUGGACGAAAGUCUGACGGAGCAACGCCGCGUGAGUGAUGAAGGCUUUCGGGUCGUAAAACUCUGUUGUUAGGGAAGAACAAGUGCUAGUUGAAUAAGCUGGCACCUUGACGGUACCUAACCAGAAAGCCACGGCUAACUACGUGCCAGCAGCCGCGGUAAUACGUAGGUGGCAAGCGUUAUCCGGAAUUAUUGGGCGUAAAGCGCGCGCAGGUGGUUUCUUAAGUCUGAUGUGAAAGCCCACGGCUCA